rnacentral:tRNA from 1 species
GCGACAACGGCAGGAUUCGAACCUGCGCUCCCGAAGGAACUUGCUUUCGUCGAUUCGAGGCAAGCACGUUAACCACUCCGUCACGUUGCC